rnacentral:misc_RNA from 1 species
GAUGAAGAACGUAGCGAAAUGCGAUAAGUAAUGUGAAUUGCAGAAUUCAGUGAAUCAUCGAAUCUUUGAACGCACAUUGCGCCCGCCAGUAUUCUGGCGGGCAUGCCUGUUCGAGCGUCAUUUCAACCAUCAAGCCCCAGGCUUGUGUUGGGGGCCUGCAGCUGCUGCAGCCCCCUAAAAGCAGUGGCGGACUCGCUGUCAUACCGAGCACAGUAGUUACAUCUCGCUCUGGGCAUGGCGGCGGGCACCUGCCGUAAAACACUCUUUCUAAGGUUGACCUCGGAUCAGGUAGGAAUACCCGCUGAACUUAAGCAUAUCAAUAAGCGGAGGA